rnacentral:rRNA from 1 species
UAAGGAAUAUUGCUCAAUGGGAGAAAUCCUGAAGCAGCAACGCCGCGUGGAGGAUGAAGGGUCUAUGACUUGUAAACUCCUGUAAAGAAGGAAAAAAUUCCAAUUAGAUGGGAGAUGAUGGUACUUCUGGAGUAAGCCCCGGCUAACUACGUGCCAGCAGCCGCGGUAAUACGUAGGGGGCAAGCGUUGUCCGGAUUUACUGGGUGUAAAGGGUGCUCAGGCGGAUUUGUAAGUCAGAGGUGAAAUCUUACAGCUUAACUGUGAAACUGCCUUUGAUACUGCAAGCCUAGAGUAUGGAAGAGAGUGAUGGAAUAUCUGGUGUAGCAGUGAAAUGCGUAGAUAUCAGAUAGAACACCAAUGGCGAAGGCAGUCACUUGGUCCAUUACUGACGCUAAAGCACGAAAGCGUGGGUAGCAAACA